GACGAACGCUGGCGGCGUGCUUAACACAUGCAAGUCGAACGAAGAGCGAUGGAUGCUUGCUUCUAUCAAUCUGAGUGGCGAACGGGUGAGUAACGCGUAUUCAACCUGCCCUUCUGAGGGGGACAACAGUCGGAAACGACUGCUCAUACCGCAUACGAUCCAAUCUCGGCACCGGGACUGGAGGAAAGGGGGCCUCUAUUUAUAAGCUAGCACUGAAGGAGGGGAUUGCGUCUGAUUAGCUAGGUGGAGGGGGAAGGGCCCACCAAGGCGAUGAUCAGUGGCCGGUCGGGGUGGGUGAGCGGCCACAUUGGGACUGGGACACGGCCCAGGCCCCUACGGCUGGCAGCAGUGGGGAAUCUUCCGCAAUGGCCGAGAGUCUGACGGUGCAACGCCGCGUGAGUGAUGACGGCCUUCGGGUUGUGAAGCUCAGUUAAUCGGGACGAAUGGUUCUUGUGCGAAUAGUGCGAGGAUUUGACGGUACCGGAAGAGAAAGCCACGGCUAACUACGUG
rnacentral:rRNA from 1 species